rnacentral:rRNA from 1 species
UGGAGGAAAGCAGGGGAUCGUAAGACCUUGCGCUUUUGGAGCGGCCGAUGUCUGAUUAGCUAGUUGGUGGGGUAAUGGCCUACCAAAGCUUCGAUCAGUAGCUGGUCUGAGAGGACGGCCAGCCACACUGGGACUGAGACACGGCCCAGACUCCUACGGGAGGCAGCAGUGGGGAAUUUCGGACAAUGGGCGCAAGCCUGAUCCAGCCAUGCCGCGUGAGUGAAGAAGGCCUUCGGGUUGUAAAGCUCUUUCAGCCGGGAAGAAAAGGCUGCGAUUAAUAAUCGCAGUUCAUGACGGUACCGGAAGAAGAAGCACCGGCUAACUACGUGCCAGCAGCCGCGGUAAUACGUAGGGUGCGAGCGUUAAUCGGAAUUACUGGGCGUAAAGGGUGCGCAGGCGGUUUUGUAAGUCAGAUGUGA